rnacentral:rRNA from 1 species
AAUGGGCGCAAGCCUGAUCCAGCCACGCCGCGUGAGUGAUGAAGGCCUUCGGGUCGUAAAGCUCUGUGGGGAGGGACGAACGGCGCCAUGAAGAGUGGCGAUUGACGGUACCUCCUUAGCAAGCACCGGCUAACUUCGUGCCAGCAGCCGCGGUAAUACGAAGGGUGCAAACGUUGCUCGGAAUCAUUGGGCGUAAAGCGCACGUAGGCGGCUUUCUAAGUCGGAUGUGAAAUCCCUCGGCUUAACCGAGGACGUGCAUCCGAAACUGGGAGGCUUGAGUAUGGAAGAGGGUCGCAGAAUUCCCGGUGUAGAGGUGAAAUUCGUAGAUAUCGGGAGGAAUACCAGUGGCGAAGGCGGCGACCUGGGCCAAUACUGACGCUGAGGUGCGAAAGCGUGGGGAGCAAA